CAGUCGCCGCGGGAAUACGUAGGUGGCAAGCGUUGCCCGGGAUUAUUGGGCGUAAAGGGCUCGCAGGCGGUUUCUUAAGUCUGAUGUGAAAGCCCCCGGCUCAACCGGGGAGGGUCAUUGGAAACUGGGAAACUUGAGUGCAGAAGAGGAGAGUGGAAUUCCACGUGUAGCGGUGAAAUGCGUAGAGAUGUGGAGGAACACCAGUGGCGAAGGCGACCCUCUGGUCUGUAACUGACGCUGAGGAGCGAAAGCGUGGGGAGCGAACAGGAUUAGAGACCCGUGUAGUCCCUGUCUCUUAUAC
rnacentral:rRNA from 1 species